rnacentral:rRNA from 1 species
AGUGAACGCUGGCGGCAGGCCUAACACAUGCAAGUCGAGCGCUACCUUCGGGUGGAGCGGCGGACGGGUUAGUAACGCGUGGGAAUAUACCCUUCACUAUGGAAUAGCCUCGGGAAACUGAGAGUAAUACCAUAUACGCCCUUCGGGGGAAAGAUUUAUCGGUGAAGGAUUAGCCCGCGUAAGAUUAGAUAGUUGGUGGGGUAAUGGCCUACCAAGUCAAUGACGCCUAACUGGUUUGAGAGGAUGAUCAGUCACACUGGAACUGAGACACGGUCCAG